CUUGAUUGUUUGGGGCCUUGGAAUUCUACUCAAAGUCAUUUCUGGGUGGCUUCAACAUCCCCAAGCUAAGAUGCCUCUUGGCUUGCUUGUGGAAGCCUGUGUGCCCUGUACGGUGAGAGGGAGAAACCAAGAUUCUCUUUGAGCUUUCUGUGGCUCCUCUUCCAACUGGGAAACCUUAAUAAGACUCGGUCUCCACCUCUAUGUGGUGAGAAGAAUGGUAUCUUCCCUACUGACCUCUCUAGGUCAAGUGAUAAGUUGCUUUUGAAAGUUCUUGGAAAAGUUUAGAGAGCAACUCAAGAAGAGGCCCUCGCCAAGCUCAGUCUCCUCAGCCCCAGAGAUCUGGAAGCCCCUCCCAACAGAGGCUCUCCCCACAAGGCCAGCAGCCCCUGAGCCCCCAGUCCGGAUCUCCACAGCAGCAAAGGUCACCAGGCUCUCCGCAGCUAUCCCGGGCAUCCAGUGGCAGCUCCCCAAACCAGGCCUCCAAGCCAGGUGCCACCCUCACCUCACAGCCCCGGCCCCCUGUGCAGGGCCGUAGUACCUCCCAGCAGGGUGAAGAGUCCAAGAAGCCAGCACCACCCCAUCCGCAUCUCAACAAAUCUCAGUCCCUGACUAACAGCCUCAGCACAUCCGACACCUCCCAGCGUGGGACCCCAAGUGAAGACGAGGCCAAGGCUGAAACCAUCCGCAACCUGAGGAAGUCUUUUGCCAGCCUGUUCUCUGACUAACGCCAUCCAGGCUGGGA
rnacentral:sRNA from 1 species